UAAUACGUAGGGGGCAAGCGUUGUCCGGAUUCAUUGGGCGUAAAGAGCGUGUAGGCGGCCAGGUAGGUCGGUUGUGAAAACUGGAGGCUCAACCUUCAGAGGUCGACCGAAACCAUCUGGCUAGAGUCCGGGAGAGGAGAGUGGAAUUCCUGGUGUAGCGGUGAAAUGCGCAGAUAUCAGGAAGAACACCCGUGGCGAAAGCGGCUCUCUGGAACGGUACUGACGCUGAGACGCGAAAGCGUGGGGAGCGAACAGGAUUAGAUACCCUGGUAGUCCACGCCGUAAACGAUGGGCGCUAGGUGUGGGAGGUGUCGACUCCUUCCGUGCCGAAGCUAACGCAUUAAGCGCCCCGCCUGGGGAGUACGGCCGCAAGGCUA
rnacentral:rRNA from 1 species